rnacentral:rRNA from 1 species
GUGUCAGCAGCCGCGGUAAUACGAAGGGGGCUAGCGUUGCUCGGAAUUACUGGGCGUAAAGGGCGCGUAGGCGGUCUGCCAAGUCAGGCGUGAAAUUCCUGGGCUUAACCUGGGGGCUGCGCUUGAGACUGGUGGGCUAGAGGACGGAAGAGGGUCGUGGAAUUCCCAGUGUAGAGGUGAAAUUCGUAGAUAUUGGGAAGAACACCGGUGGCGAAGGCGGCGACCUGGUCCGUUACUGACGCUGAGGCGCGACAGCGUGGGGAGCAAACAGGAUUAGAUACCCUGGUAGUCCACGCCGUAAACGAUGUGCGCUGGAUGUUGGGGCUCUUAGAGCUUCAGUGUCGUAGCCAACGCGGUAAGCGCACCGCCUGGGGAGUACGGCCGCAAGGUUGAA